UACGGAGGGUGCGAGCGUUGUCCGGAAUCAUUGGGCGUAAAGGGCGCGUAGGUGGCCCCUCAAGCGUGCGGUGAAAGUCAGGGGCUCAACCCCUGAUCGGCCGUGCGAACUGGGGAGCUUGAGCACUGUAGAGGCAGGCGGAAUUCCGGGUGUAGCGGUGGAAUGCGUAGAGAUCCGGAAGAACACCGGUGGCGAAGGCGGGUCUCUGGGCGAGUAACUGACGCUGAGAAGCGAAAGCGUGGGGAGCGAACAGG
rnacentral:rRNA from 1 species